rnacentral:rRNA from 1 species
GACGAACGCUGGCGGCGUGCUUAACACAUGCAAGUCGAGCGGUAAGGCCCUUUCGGGGGUACACGAGCGGCGAACGGGUGAGUAACACGUGGGUGACCUGCCCUCAGCUCUGGGAUAAGCCUGGGAAACCGGGUCUAAUACUGGAUAUGACUCCAUGACGCAUGUUGUGGGGUGAAAGCCUUGUGCGGCUGAGGAUGGGCCCGCGGCCUAUCAGCUUGUUGGUGGGGUGANGGCCUACCAAGGCGACGACGGGUAGCCGGCCUGAGAGGGCGACCGGCCACACUGGGACUGAGACACGGCCCAGACUCCUACGGGAGGCAGCAGUGGGGAAUCUUGCGCAAUGGGCGAAAGCCUGACGCAGCGACGCCGCGUGAGGGAUGACGGCCUGGUGUAAC